rnacentral:rRNA from 1 species
AACGAACGCUGGCGGCAUGCCUAAUACAUGCAAGUCGAACGAGACCUCCGGGUCCAGUGGCGCACGGGUGCGUAACGCGUGGGAACCUGCCCUUAGGUUCGGAAUAACUCCCCGAAUGGGGUGCUAAUACCGGAUAAUGUCUACGGCCCAAAGAUUUAUUGCCCUUGUAGGUGCCCGCGUUGGAUUAGCUAGUUGUUAGGGUAAAAGCAUACCAAGGCGAGCAUGCAUAGCUGGUAUGAGAGGAAGAUCACCCACACUGAGACGAAGACGCGGCCCAGACUCCUACGGGAGGGAGGAGUGGGGAAUGGUGGACCAUGGGGGGAGGGAUGAAGGUGCAAUGACGGGUGAACGAUGAAAGCAUUGAAGAUGUAAAGCGUAAUUAACCGGGAAGAUAAUGACGGUACCUGGACAGAAAGCCCCGGCUAACUACGUG